UAGGGAAUUUUUCACAAUGAGCGAAAGCUUGAUGGAGCAAUGCCGCGUGAACGAUGAAGGUCUUUAAGAUUGUAAAGUUCUUUUAUUUGGGAAGAAUGACUUUAGCAGGUAAUGGCUAGAGUUUGACUGUACCAUUUUGAAUAAGUGACGACUAACUAUGUGCCAGCAGUCGCGGUAAUACAUAGGUCACAAGCGUUAUCCGGAUUUAUUGGGCGUAAAGCAAGCGCAGGCGGAUUGAAAAGUCUGGUGUUAAAGGCAGCUGCUUAACAGUUGUAUGCAUUGGAAACUAUUAAUCUAGAGUGUGGUAGGGAGUUUUGGAAUUUCAUGUGGAGCGGUGAAAUGCGUAGAUAUAUGAAGGAACACCAGUGGCGAAGGCGAAAACUUAGGCCAUUACUGACGCUUAGGCUUGAAAGUGUGGGGAGCAAAUAGGAUUAGAUACCCUAGUAGUCCACACCGUAAACGAUAGAUACUAGCUGUCGGGGCGAUCCCCUCGGUAGUGAAGUUAGCACAUUAAGUAUCUCGCCUGGGUAGUACAUUCGCAAGAAUG
rnacentral:rRNA from 1 species